rnacentral:rRNA from 1 species
UACGUAGGGUGCGAGCGUCAAUCGGAAUUACUGGGCGUAAAGCGUGCGCAGGCGGUUCGUUGUGUCGGCGGUGAAAGCCCCGGGCUCAACCUGGGAAUGGCCGUUGAAACUGGCGAACUGGAGUGUGGCAGAGGGGGGUGGAAUUCCGCGUGUAGCAGUGAAAUGCGUAGAGAUGCGGAGGAACACCGAUGGCGAAGGCAGCCCCCUGGGCUGAUACUGACGCUCAGGCACGAAAGCGUGGGGAGCAAACAGG